rnacentral:tRNA from 1 species
GCCGCGAUCGCAUAACCUGGUAUUGCGCAGGAUUGCUAAUCCUGUUUCCUAACGGAUAUCUGGGUUCAAAGCACUCUCACGAUAUAUGCUGAAAAGCUGUGUGUGAGUUUGAGAGUCCCAGUCGCGGCG